rnacentral:rRNA from 1 species
GAGUUUGAUCAUGGCUCAGAACGAACGCUGGCGGCGUGCUUAACACAUGCAAGUCGAACGGGGUGCAUGGCUUCGGUCAUGCCACCUAGUGGCGGACGGGUGAGUAACGCGUGGGAAUCUGCCCAACAGUGGGGAAUAACAGCGGGAAACCGCUGCUAAUACCGCAUACGUCCUUCGGGAGAAAGGCUUCGGCCGCUGUUGGAUGAGCCCGCGUCCGAUUAGCUAGUUGGUGGGGUAAAAGCCUACCAAGGCGACGAUCGGUAGCUGGUCUGAGAGGACGACCAGCCACACUGGGACUGAGACACGGCCCAGACUCCUACGGGAGGCAGCAGUGGGGAAUAUUGGACAAUGGGGGAAACCCUGAUCCAGCGACGCCGCGUGAGUGAAGAAGGCCUUAGGGUUGUAAAGCUCUUUCACCGGAGAAGACGAUGACGGUACCCGGAGAAGAAGCCCCGGCUAACUCCGUGCCAGCAGCCGCGGUAA